CCUGCCAGAGCAAGCUUGGUGCGGAGAGUGAGCAGCGCGGAGUCUUUGCUUCGGCGGGGACCGGUCGCUGCGGGAAGGCCAGGGCGGGAAGCUGAGCUCCGAGACGGCGGCCGGAGCUCCCCGGGUGUCCCGCCGGCCGCGCUGGUGAGCGCUGCUGGAGGGUUUCGCCGCCUGGGCGAAAGCGUGCGCGGCUCCGAGGGGCUGCCGGGCGGCCACCGGGGCGAGGUGAGCUCCUGGUCUGACGCGGAGUGCUCGUGCUGGCGCGGAACGGGCUUCGGAGGAGCGGCAGCGUACCGAAAUGCCCGUCUGCGCGGAGCGCUGGCGAACGAGUGAAUCCUGCGCGAAGCGAAGGGAGAAGGGCGGCCCUGCAGGCACUGCCCGCUCAGACCAGGUUACUCUGCAGCAGCAGCGUGGUUGAGAGGUUGCCGGCUGCUGGGAUCUCCGUCAGAUCUUGAGAUGAGUGGGAAGCAAAUGCUGCAGUGGACGUUGGCCAGCUUUCCAUGAGUGAACUGAAAAGGACUGAGACCACAACAGAGAUACAAAUCUUCCAUGGUUUGGCCCGGAGCAGGAUGAAACCGUACGUAAAAAUGAGGAAUCCAGAUCAACCCUGCUGCUGCUUUCUUAUUGUUUAUGCAUUCCCACCUGAAGACUUCAAAGACUGAUAGCUGAAUCUACUUGAAAGCUGUUGCCUGCUCAUUCACUUCAUCUGCUUUCUGGUGCAGAAUAUGUUGAGAUUUUCAGAAGUCCUCUGCCAAAUAUUCUUUGAGAAGCUGGUCCACGGGAGAGCUUUGGUCUCGAUAACCUUGCAUUUUGGAGCACCUCCUGAUUUUUCACCAGUCCAGCAGGAUUAAAAAUGUGACACUUCAGCCGUGUUGUGUUUCCAUGCCUGGUGUUAGUUUCUUUAAAGUAAAACAUUUAUUUUCUUCAGAAAAUGUGCCUAUUCUGCAGAUAAAAAAAUACUUUAACCAGUGCAACAGAUGAAAAUUAAUUAAAAUACAAUUAAAUCAUUUCAUGACAGAUUCUUAUCUUUAAAAAAUUCAGGCUAAUUUUCUGAGGAAAUAAGGCAUGGUCUCUAUAAUUAAUGACAAAACAUGCUGAAAUAGUUAAUGCAUGUCAGAAGCUGCCAGAAUACUUGUUUUAAAAACAAAGAUCCUUCAGGGAAUGUCCCAAACUCCCAGUUUUAUGAAGCUUCAGAAUUCGUUUGCAAACCUUAACGUUAUCAGACCUGCAUAGUCACAGGGUUUAAGCUGUACCUCUUAGGCUGCCCGUUUUUUCCUGAUGUCUUCCUUUGCACACACUCUGCUAAGACCAGCUCAGGUGCUGUUUCCAGUGGUGGGAGCUGUGUCACAGAAGAGGCUCCAGGCAGCUGCCAGCACUUUAAAUAUUGGAUGUCUAAAGCUGAUCAGAGCACAUCUAUACACAGAAUGUGUGUGAUGCUGGGGGCUAGAAGGCAUUGUUGCAUUCUCUGCUGCAAGGUCACAGUGAAAUAGAUUAACAAUAGCUAGUCCUCCCUUUCCUUCUGCCCUCCGUGGACAUUGCAGGCUGAAUGUUAUGAGGAGUUUAACGUUUGUUUCAAGAUACUUUUACAUUUAUGGUUUUGCUUUUGUGAGGCAGCAGUGUGAGAGGGGGAAAGGCUUUAAUGAAGUCAGCCUGUAGACUGUUCGCUGUCCACGUUGUAUGCGUAUCUGGUUGUACUGAAGCUGUGUACUGCUACUGAACUUUUAAUCGGAGUAAACAGAUGAAAAGGGCAAGUCACUGAGAAAAAUAUACUCCUGCAUUCAGCCUUCCCACCCCUGUUUUUAUUAGCUACAAUUAAUUUUUCUACUUGAUCAGAAAACGGAUCUUUCAGCAGAUGGUUUGCUUAGUGCAUUUGGUAGUGUCCGACAUAUUGCCGGGCAGUUAACCUGUUCUGUCCUGUUAGCUCGUAGGAUCUCUGGAGAAGCACCACAGUCUGCAAAAUACAAUUAAUUAUAUUAGAUUUACAAGUUGUUGUAUUUCUUCACAAGAAAUUUUUUUAUUUUCUCAGUAGACUGUCAGAAUUGCGCUGUCCUGCGAGUUGCUAAUGGUCGUUCUGCAAGCCUUGGGGUCUGAUUUCAUCUUCAGUGGUGAUUUUAAAAAGGGAUCUUAACUUCCAAAGGCAGCCUGUAACUGCUGCAAAGCAUAACCUUGCCAGUGGUUUGAACCAGUUGGUGGGUUCUAGGUUAUACAGCAUGCUGAAUCUUUGGGUUGACAGCACAGCUAGGAUAUGAGCUUUGAAGUAAUACUUCCCUUGGUCUAAGUCCAGACUAAGCUGAAGUUCAUGCACUGCCCUCCAGAGACACCGGAGAAUUUUUAUCGUAACUAUACUAAUUUAUAAGAUAUCUUUAAAAGUAAAGAAAAGUUGUAUGUAAGCAUACACGCUGCAGGGAUAUUUACAGCAUAAAUUGUAAGGGCGGAAAUAUUUAGCAAAGACAAACUAGAUAAAAAAGGUAAUCCUGUUUUUUCAGUAUAUCCACAAUUUUUAUAAAAUAAGCUUGAACUUAUAAAUUGCUUCUCGUCUUGAAGAAUUAAAACUUUCCUAUCCUGAGAUAGAGUAGCCAAACUGGAAAACUCUGGUGGAAUAUUAUUUUCCAGUGGGAGAUUUAACAGCUGUUCCUUAAACUAGAUUUAGAAGCAAUUCUGAAGGGAAUCUAGAAUGUUAUGUCAUUCACAUCUUCAACUCUGCACUGUUUUGCUUCAAGAGAAUAACCAGAGGUGAAAGAGGCCUUUGGUUGAGUGAAACAAUGGAAGCUUACAUUCUAAUUAUAAUGUUAAUUAAAGACAUAGGUUAACAAAAACAAUAAAACAUGCUCUUUCUGUCAUUGUGAAGUGUGAUAAAGUGCUUAGCUCUGUGAUGUUUUCCAUUCUGUUUAUGUACUGUGUUCAAACAUGCCUUGCUGUCUGAGCUCUUCUCUUUACACAGCUCUGGAUUAUAAAUGGUAAUGGAAAAUUGCUUUGUGACUUUGACACUGGUAAGAACUGUAGCACGUGAAGGAGGCAAUGCUGUGUGAAAGCCACAGCUUUUAAAAGGAUUCACUGGAACACAUUUUCUUCAGAUCACUUAGAGCGUGCUGUGUCGUUAGGGUGUCUUGUGGAAUUGCCUACUGAUACAAUUUUCUAACAGCAAAAUACUGUGUUUUAAAUAUCUUGCUUUGGCAUAUUUUUUUGUCUGUUUGUUUUAGGUGAAUCUAGGGUGAAGAGAUCAACCAAAUCUACAAAAUGACUAUUUAAAAUGAAGUCACUUCAGAAUAUGUUUCUGCUACUGUAUAGAAGAUACUUCCCUACGUCUAACAUGCACCGUGCAGGAUUUCAUCAGCGCAUUGUUAAGGGAAAUCCUCAUUGUGUUGUUGCCUUAUGAAGAAUAGACAAGCAAACACUGGCAAACACAGAAGUCCAAAUGGCCCUUUGUCAGGGCUUUUCUUAGAUCACAUAGCCUCACGGGUAAAAAACAACUCAGGGGAGAGUUACUGUACACUGUGCUGUGGGAUUGAUACUCAGAUGUUUUAUAUGAGUGUAAAGCUUCUACCUAAAUUUUGGAUUUCUAUUUAUUUCAGAUUAUAUGUACUAAGAGGUUAUAUGGUUCCUACAAAUGUCUUCCUAAGAAGUUCCUUUAUGCAGAGCUGG